rnacentral:lncRNA from 1 species
GAAAUUUUGCAACUGCUUAAACACCUAGUUAGUUAAUUCGCGAAUUAUUCGGCGAAUUAUUAAAAAUCCGAAUUAAACGGUCCGUUUACGAAUUUUUUCCAAAGAAAGAAAAUUAUUCGCGAAUUUUUGAGCCAGCCGAAUUAUUCGCAAAUUAUUUUCGAAUUAUUGAAAAUAUAAAUAAAAAAUUUAUAAUUUUUAUUUUUAAAUAUAAAUUAUUUUAUAUUUUAUACUUUAUACCGAAUUUAUUUUUUAAGCCGAAGUUUUCAACGAAUUUAAAAAUAAAAAAAUAAAUUUUAGGCGUAUUAUAUCCGCACCGAAUUUUUGCCGAAUCCGA